AUUGAACGCUGGCGGCAGGCUUAACACAUGCAAGUCGAGCGGAGAUAAGGUGCUUGCACCUUAUCUUAGCGGCGGACGGGUGAGUAAUGCUUAGGAAUCUGCCAUUUAGUGGGGGACAACAUUCCGAAAGGAAUGCUAAUACCGCAUACGUCCUACGGGAGAAAGCAGGGGAUCUUCGGACCUUGCGCUAAAUGAUGAGCCUAAGUCGGAUUAGCUAGUUGGUGGGGUAAAGGCCUACCAAGGCGACGAUCUGUAGCGGGUCUGAGAGGAUGAUCCGCCACACUGGGACUGAGACACGGCCCAGACUCCUACGGGAGGCAGCAGUGGGGAAUAUUGGACAAUGGGCGGAAGCCUGAUCCAGCCAUGCCGCGUGUGUGAAGAAGGCCUUUUGGUUGUAAAGCACUUUAAGCGAGGAGGAGGCUACCUAGAUUAAUACUCUGGGAUAGUGGACGUUACUCGCAGAAUAAGCACCGGCUAACUCUGUGCCAGCCGCCGCGGUAA
rnacentral:rRNA from 1 species